ACCUCAGUCAGGAGAGACUACCCCC
rnacentral:rRNA from 1 species